CAAACCCUAUUUCCCCACAGUCGCUUUUUCCUUCAAGUUCAUUAUCAAACAGCCGUUUAUGGAUUACCUCAGUUACCUGUAUUAAAAAAUUUCCUCUUUCUCUCUCCGUUUUAGAUCCGGCUUAGUGGUUUUCCAUGGCUCUAACCUUAACUCCAAUCAACAAUAUAUCCUCUAUCACCUUCUCCAAUGGUUCGAACUUCUUUAAAAGCAAGCCGAAAGAUCGAUAAAAUAGAACAACACUCCAGCGAAACACACUCGGUGAAGGCUUACUUCUUGGAAUGUAUAAGGUUGUAAAGUUGAAGGAGCUCUUCAAUACGAGGAGACAACUACCAAGUAUAAUUGAAUCAAAAUUGGCAUUUUUGAUCAAGUUCCAAACAAAAGCUAUGGAGAAUGGACUUAUGGACUAAUGGAGCUAGUGGAAUUGAAUAUAUCUCUAAAUUUAGACUACACUUGAAGUAUUUUGUAUAUCGAUUUUUCAUUUUGUGAAUUGUAUAUAAGUGAAUGAUGAAUCAGUUGGUUUAUUAAAUAAAUUCAUAUGUUUUAUGGUU